UCCCUAGUAGCUCAGAUGGUAAAAGCACCCACCUGCAAUGCAGGAGACCCAGGUUCGAUCCCUGGGAUGGGAA
rnacentral:tRNA from 1 species